rnacentral:rRNA from 1 species
UUUAAUUGAAGAGUUUGAUCAUGGCUCAGAUUGAACGCUGGCGGCAGGCCUAACACAUGCAAGUCGAACGGUAACAGGGAGCAGCUUGCUGCUCUGCUGACGAGUGGCGGACGGGUGAGUAAUGUCUGGGAAACUGCCUGAUGGAGGGGGAUAACUACUGGAAACGGUAGCUAAUACCGCAUAACGUCUACGGACCAAAGUGGGGGACCUUCGGGCCUCAUGCCAUCAGAUGUGCCCAGAUGGGAUUAGCUAGUAGGUGGGGUAACGGCUCACCUAGGCGACGAUCCCUAGCUGGUCUGAGAGGAUGACCAGCCACACUGGAACUGAGACACGGUCCAGACUCCUACGGGAGGCAGCAGUGGGGAAUAUUGCACAAUGGGCGCAAGCCUGAUGCAGCCAUGCCGCGUGUAUGAAGAAGGCCUUCGGGUUGUAAAGUACUUUCAGCGGGGAGGAAGGCGUUGUGGUUAAUAACCACAGCGAUUGACGUUACCCGCAGAAGAAGCACCGGCUAACUCCGUGCCAGCAGCCGCGGUAAUACGGAGGGUGCAAGCGUUAAUCGGAAUUACUGGGCGUAAAGCGCACGCAGGCGG